GAUCCUGGCUCAGAUUGAACGCUGGCGGCAGGCCUAACACAUGCAAGUCGAACGGUAACAGGAAGCAGCUUGCUGCUUCGCUGACGAGUGGCGGACGGGUGAGUAAUGUCUGGGAAACUGCCUGAUGGAGGGGGGAUAACUACUGGAAACGGUAGCUAAUACCGCAUAACGUCGCAAGACCAAAGAGGGGGGACCUUCGGGCCGUCUUGCCAUCGGAUGUGCCCAGAUGGGAUUAGCUAGUAGGG
rnacentral:rRNA from 1 species